rnacentral:tRNA from 1 species
GGUAAAAUGGCUGAAUUAUAAGCGAUAAAUUGUAAAUUUAUUUAUGAAAAAAAUUUUCUUUUACCA